UAAAUAUGUCAUUAUAAUUUCUUGAAACAUAUCAUUUUAUACGCCUUAAAGAGCUAUAUUAGGCCCACAUGCAUACUAAUGUAAUUCUAUAUUGACCAAAAUGUCCAUACUGCUAAGUGCUGGAUUAAAGUGGGUGGUAGCAGGUGGCCGGUGCGGAUGUGCGGGCGGCGCGGGCGGCUCGGCGACGUCGGAGUUGACAGCGGCGGACGAGCGGCGCGCCGACGGCUGCAGCCAAGCGGAGGCGACAGCAGCGAGGGGCGGACCCCACCCGGAGGGUCGUCAGCCGGCGCAAUCGAUGGCGACGGACAGGCGGUGCACUGACCGCGGUGGCGGGUGGACGACGCAGUCGACAGCAGUGAGCAGGCGGCGCGCUGACGGUGAAGGCGACGGAGGCGGGUGGCCGGUGCGCUGACGUCGAUGGCGGGGUUGGGGGCGGUCGAGAGGGGGUGCGGGGACGACGUAAGGAGGAAGAAUGGGACGGCAAAGGAGGGAAGCAGAGGACGGCGAGGACGAUGUCACCAGUGCAGGAGGUGGAGAAGACGGCGCGGGCGAGGUCGGAGGUCGGGGGGCGCGGCGGAGAGGAGCCGGAGCAGUUCGCCAGUGGCGGAGCGGUGGGGUUGAGUGAGUGGAAGAAGAG
rnacentral:lncRNA from 1 species